rnacentral:tRNA from 1 species
GGCGCCAUCGCCAAGCGGCUAAGGCAGUGGUUUGCAAAACCACUAUCGCGGGUUCGAGUCCCGCUGGCGCCUCCA